GUCUGAGUGUCCUAAACAUUGCCCUCCGUGUGUGUCAAUGGCCUGCUUGCUCGCUAGAUUGACAAAAGGAACCGCGAUAAACAACAGAGCCAGAAAACCCAAAGAGAGUGGCUGGUAGACGGGACUAUGGAGAGACACAAUGCUAACACGGAAAUCCCUCCGGACCCCUCUCCUGCAGCGAGGAGGGGGAAAGACACAGGAUGGGGAAGAAAGAGGACGAGGAGGACGAGGACGAGGAGAAGCUUGUUCCUCCCCGGCUGAUUUGUGGCAGACUGAUAUGGCAGCCCAAGCCGUCCCUCCGGUCGGGCUGACCGACAGAGGCUUCUGUUACACGCUCUUAG
ensembl:lncRNA